UGGGGAAUAUUGGACAAUGGGCGAAAGCCUGAUCCAGCCAUGCCGCGUGAGUGAUGAAGGCCUUAGGGUUGUAAAGCUCUUUUAGCAGGGAAGAUAAUGACGGUACCUGCAGAAAAAGCCCCGGCUAACUUCGUGCCAGCAGCCGCGGUAAUACGAAGGGGGCUAGCGUUGCUCGGAAUUACUGGGCGUAAAGCGCACGUAGGCGGACUCUAAAGUCGGUGGUGAAAUCCUGGAGCUCAACUCCAGAACUGCCUUCGAUACUGGGAGUCUUGAGUUCGGGAGAGGUGAGUGGAACUGCGAGUGUAGAGGUGAAAUUCGUAGAUAUUCGCAAGAACACCAGUGGCGAAGGCGGCUCACUGGCCCGAUACUGACGCUGAGGUGCGAAAGCGUGGGGAGCAAACA
rnacentral:rRNA from 1 species